AAUAAUACUGGUGCCCUACGAACACCACAAGUGUUAUGGAGCACCAGGUCUCUAAAGACAGACAGAAAGCUGUCAUGCUCCGUGCUGAACCAACAAUCUUUGUCUGAGCUUUGUUUGCAGGUGGGUGUGUCUGCAGAGCUCAGCUGUAUCACAUCAGCGGUCAGGGGAUUUAAGGGGCGGCAGGACAGCUCACCAGUGCCUUGGGUUCCAGUCACAUUCAUAUUCGCUUUCUACAAUAUCACCGGAACCAUCAUCAACAUUCCAGUCCCGCCAUUUGCCCCUGAUCGCCUGCUCUCCGCCACUCACCGGCCCACCUGCAGCUCCUCGGUCUCCCUGCUCAGCCAGGCCUGGCAUACCCUCCCCGGAGAACCCGGAUCAUCCAGGAAACCGUAAGCCCUUGGCAUUCCUCAUCAUCCUCUCACGAUGAUCCAGACUGACCUCUCUUCCUCUCCCAGAACCCCACGGAUCCAUUUCCUGUCCUUGGGAAGCUACCUCUACCGCACCAUUCAAAAUAAACCACUCUUACUGAACUUCCGACUCCUGGUGGUGAUUCUUCAUGUCGAGGGUUAAGGAAUUACCUUCAAACACGACUAAAACUAAAUGAAAAAGAGUGGAAGAGGGACAGAUUAACACAGAUUAGAACAAGUUCUGAUAAACACAGAAAUAGCUAAAGGUCCAGUUUGACAGUCCACUACUCUUCACUAUCGGAUCUAUCGCUGGAGCGUAGAUCAGUCAACUCAGUUAGUUCAAACAGGAGUCACGGUACACGAGCUGAAGUAAAGAGAGGCAACGCUAAUAUUAGCCUUGAUCAGACUCCCCAUUCUCUCUCUCUCACACACACACACACACACACACAUACACACACACACACACACACACACACCCACCCACCCCUAUGAGGAUGUGUGUUUCUCCUGACUCUGUUGUUCGGUUGACCUCCUUAAAGAACAUCUUUGCCUGACUUUGCUUUUCCAACAAACUCUGCUGUGAUGAUGCACGUGGAGAUGCCACCAUCUCCUAUCUCAUGCAGCUCGGUGUUUCAUCGUUUGAAACACUGGACAUGUUGUUCAUUCUGAUUGCUGCUAUCUGGAGACCUUGGCCUAUCUGGAAGUAGAUUGAAAGCAAACUAAUCACGUCUGUUGGCUGCACUAAGAUGUGUCACAUCAACUACAUCAUCUUACAAGCUUUCUUAUACAUGAACUUUAUUCUACAGCUUUUCCCAUCAUUGUUUUAAAUUUAUAAACUUUUAAGUUUCUAAAAGCCUAGAGAAGGUUCAAGUGCUCCAGAUUAGGUUUCAAAACUGUAAAUGAUGCUUUUUAUGAAUGACUGGGGCAGAUUUGACCCAAAUGGGUGGGGUUGGGGCCCUGCCCUCUCUUCUGAAACCCUAUAAAAACACA
rnacentral:lncRNA from 1 species